UAUUUAAAAUAUAAAUUUAAUUAAAAAAAUUAAUAAAUAACUAUUGCUGAACGCCGAUUUUUGUAGAAUGUAGCUACCCAACUAUAAUCGCAAAGAAAGCUCCCACUGUUUGUGAAGAAUUAGUAAGGAUUUGACGCUAAGUUGUCGUCUUCAUCAACAAACAUUUUGUUAAACUGUAACAGCUCUUUUUGCUCGCAAAGUUUCUAUGUAUUUUUCAAUAACCUCCGUAAAAGUACCGAUCAAAAGUUUGCACUGGCCUAUACUUAUGAGAAUAUGCUUGCUGGUCUAAUUCAUGAUUUAUUUUAAUGUUUUUUUAGACGCCUCGGGAUCAGUGCGCAUUCAAAUCAUAUGCGAUGUAGUCUGUACGUGUACGUGUGUAUGGCGUUUAAAUACGUGUUUUUGAAGCAAUGCGCGAUUGCAUAUUGGCAUGGUAUGCAAUUAUAAAGUGGAGAUUCCCAGGAUCUUGCCAUGACUUCAUUGUUUGGAGAAAGAGCUAGGCAAGGGCAUCUGAAAUGGAUUGGACGCCAGUUUUAUUUUGGCAGAUUUAUGAAAGAGAGCAACUUUAAUAAACAAAAUUAUGCAGCUCAAAAUAUUGUCACUGGCGCCUCCUCGUGGACCUCCUUCAUAUGGAAACCCUUCUGCUUGUGCUUCUUGUGCCUCUUAUGCCAUAAAAAAGACCAUACAAUCGUGCUAUUUCGUCCCUAAUCAGCUGGAUUGCAAUUUGGGUGUACUUUUAAUUCCUUGCAUAUUCUGUACUCAUAUUAUGUGAGUGGUCAUUUUCCGACCACACCUUUAAAAAAAAUAUAACAAAU